rnacentral:rRNA from 1 species
UUUAGAGUUUGAUCCUGUCUCAGGAUGAACGCUGGCGGCGUGCCUAAUACAUGCAAGUCGAGCGAACGGACGAGAAGCUUGCUUCUCUGAUGUUAGCGGCGGACGGGUGAGUAACACGUGGAUAACCUACCUAUAAGACUGGGAUAACUUCGGGAAACCGGAGCUAAUACCGGAUAAUAUUUUGAACCGCAUGGUUCAAAAGUGAAAGACGGUCUUGCUGUCACUUAUAGAUGGAUCCGCGCUGCAUUAGCUAGUUGGUAAGGUAACGGCUUACCAAGGCAACGAUGCAUAGCCGACCUGAGAGGGUGAUCGGCCACACUGGAACUGAGACACGGUCCAGACUCCUACGGGAGGCAGCAGUAGGGAAUCUUCCGCAAUGGGCGAAAGCCUGACGGAGCAACGCCGCGUGAGUGAUGAAGGUCUUCGGAUCGUAAAACUCUGUUAUUAGGGAAGAACAUAUGUGUAAGUAACUGUGCACAUUCUGUCGUACC